CUGAUGGAGCAACGCCGCGUGAGUGAAGAAGGUCUUCGGAUCGUAAAACUCUGUUGUUAGAGAAGAACACGAGUGAGAGUAACUGUUCAUUCGAUGACGGUAUCUAACCAGCAAGUCACGGCUAACUACGUGCCAGCAGCCGCGGUAAUACGUAGGUGGCAAGCGUUGUCCGGAUUUAUUGGGCGUAAAGGGAACGCAGGCGGUCUUUUAAGUCUGAUGUGAAAGCCUUCGGCUUAACCGGAGUAGUGCAUUGGAAACUGGAAGACUUGAGUGCAGAAGAGGAGAGUGGAACUCCAUGUGUAGCGGUGAAAUGCGUAGAU
rnacentral:rRNA from 2 species